rnacentral:rRNA from 1 species
GACGAACGCUGGCGGCGUGCCUAACACAUGCAAGUCGAACGGAACUUUUUUAAAAGAUUUCUUCGGAAUGAAUUUGAUUAAGUUUAGUGGCGGACGGGUGAGUAACGCGUGAGUAACCUGCCUCUAAGAGGGGAAUAACAUUCUGAAAAGAACGCUAAUACCGCAUAAUAUAUAUUUAUCGCAUGGUAGAUAUAUCAAAGAUUUAUCGCUUAGAGAUGGACUCGCGUCCGAUUAGUUAGUUGGUGAGGUAACGGCUCACCAAGACCGCGAUCGGUAGCCGGACUGAGAGGUUGAACGGCCACAUUGGGACUGAGACACGGCCCAGACUCCUACGGGAGGCAGCAGUGGGGGAUAUUGCGCAAUGGGGGAAACCCUGACGCAGCAACGCCGCGUGAAGGAUGAAGGUCUUCGGAUUGUAAACUUCUUUUAUUAAGGACGAAGAAAGUGACG